rnacentral:rRNA from 1 species
UGGGGAAUUUUGGACAAUGGGCGAAAGCCUGAUCCAGCAAUGCCGCGUGUGUGAAGAAGGCCUUCGGGUUGUAAAGCACUUUUGUCCGGAAAGAAAUCCUUGGCUCUAAUACAGUCGGGGGAUGACGGUACCGGAAGAAUAAGCACCGGCUAACUACGUGCCAGCAGCCGCGGUAAUACGUAGGGUGCAAGCGUUAAUCGGAAUUACUGGGCGUAAAGCGUGCGCAGGCGGUUUGCUAAGACCGAUGUGAAAUCCCCGGGCUCAACCUGGGAACUGCAUUGGUGACUGGCAGGCUAGAGUAUGGCAGAGGGGGGUAGAAUUCCACGUGUAGCAGUGAAAUGCGUAGAGAUGUGGAGGAAUACCGAUGGCGAAGGCAGCCCCCUGGGCCAAUACUGACGCUCAUGCACGAAAGCGUGGGGAGCAAACAGGAUUNGAUACCCUGGUAGUCCACGCCCUAAACGAUGUCAACUAGUUGUUGGGGAUUCAUUUCCUUAGUAACGUAGCUAACGCGUGAAGUUGACCGCCUGGGGAGUACGGUCGCAAGAUUAAAACUUAAAUGAAUUGACGGGGUCAUAGCUGUUUCCU